rnacentral:lncRNA from 1 species
AUGAAAACUCAGGAGUUUCUGUUUCUCAGUAGGAUUCUCAGCGUGAUGAAACACUUUUGUAGCUUGGGUGGAAUUUCUGGAGCAUUGAGCACUGCACUUUAUCCAGCCUGGUUUGCAAUGUUGAAUAUUUAUGGCUCUCUGUCCUGCAGACUUCUCCGUGAGGAUCUGGAUUGCAAAGAGCUUCACCAUACUUGGAGCUUCAUGUGGUGGAUGUGGACUUUAAAACAGUGUGUCUCAACAUUUCAUCCUCAACUAUCUGUUUUUAAUCUGAUUGCACUACAAAAGAAAAGCUGCUAAUGGGAUAAAUGUUGAGACGUUGCAAGAACUGACUUGAAGUACCAAAAGCCAUUACUAUAAAUCAAGAAGAGCUCGAAGCUAAGUCUGUAUCCGAUUAGUCAGU